UGAGUACGAGAUGCUACGGCAUUGAAGCAGUCUAUGUCAUACUUCCAAGAAAAGCUUGCAAUGUCAUAAACAAAUAAUGCCUGUACCAUAACCGACACAGGUGGGUAGGUAGAGUAUACUAAGGGGCGCGAGAUAACUCUCUCUAAGGAACUCGGCAAAAUGACUCCGUAACUUCGGGAGAAGGAGUGCCUUAUUUUAUAAGGUUGCAAUAACAAGAUCCAAGCAACUGUUUACCAAAAACACAGGUCUCCGCUAAGUCGUAAGACGAUGUAUGGGGGCUGACGCCUGCCCAGUGCCAGAAGGUUAAAGAAGUUGGUUAGCAUUAGCGAAGCUGAUAACUGAAGCCCUGGUGAACGGCGGCCGUAACUAUAGCGGUCCUAAGGUAGCGAAAUUCCUUGUCGGGUAAGUUCCGACCCGCACGAAAGGCGUAAUGAUUUGGAUACUGUCUCGGAGAGGGGCUCGGUGAAAUAGACUUGUCUGUGAAGAUGCGGACUACCUGCACCUGGACAGAAAGACCCUAUGAAGCUUUACUGUAACUUGAGAUUGAAAUUGGACUUUAUUUGCGCAGUAUAGGUGGGAGACAUUGAAAGUAUUCUUGCGGGAAUAUUGGAGUCAUCAGUGAGAUACCACUCUUAUAAUGUUAGAUUUCUAACUUUGUAUCAUUAUCUGGUCAAAGAACAGUUUCAGGCGGGCAGUUUGACUGGGGCGGUCGCCUCCCAAACGGUAACGGAGGCGCACAAAGGUUUCCUCUGAACGUGUAGAAAUCGUAUCUAGAGUGUAAAGGCAUAAGGAAGCUUGACUGUGAGACCUACAAGUCGAGCAGGGACGAAAGUCGGUCUUAGUGAUCUGACGGUGCUGAGUGGAAAGGCCGUCACUCAACGGAUAAAAGUUACUCUAAGGAUAACAGGCUGAUCUCCCCCAAGAGUUCACAUCGACGGGGAGGUUUGGCACCUCGAUGUCGGCUCAUCGCAUCCUGGGGCGGUAGUACGUCCCAAGGGUUGGGCUGUUCGCCCAUGAAAGCGGUACGCGAGCUGGGUUCAGAACGUCGUGAGACAGUUCGGUCCAUAUCCGGUGUAGGCGUUAGAAUAUUGAGAGGAGCCUUCUUUAGUACGAGAGGACCGAGAAGGACAUACCUCUGGUGUACCAGUUAUCGUGCCAACGGUAAACGCUGGGUAGCUAUGUAUGGAGAGGAUAACCGCUGAAAGCAUCUAAGUGGGAAGCCCACCUCAAGAUAAGUAUUCUC
rnacentral:rRNA from 1 species